AACUGUACUUGAUACAUUUGAGCUAAUGCAUCACUUCCUGGUUUUUUGCACUAAAAAAUCCUUCUUGUAAAUAGUAGUAGAAAAAUUCUUACUAUGCAGAUAAACAUUUUUCAGUGGUGAAUGGACUUUUUUUUUCUAUGUCAAUAAUAAGGGUAGAGAAUCUGCAGAGGUGUGCCUUUGUGCAUCCCUGAACAUUCAUCAGCUGCUAAAAACAGGACACUAAGGGAACUUUGACUCCAUAGUCUGUUAAGGCUUAGUCGUAUUUAUUACUGAACGAUUUGAUGCUGAAAGACACACACCAAUCCAGUUUACAGUUUUGUGUUAACUGCAAAAAAAAAUAUUUCUUACAGGAUUAUUUCUGUUCACAUAAUAUUUGGCAACAUGCUGUGACUUGCAGAUAUACAAAAGCAUUGGUUUUGACACUACAUCUGAAAAUGUUAAGAAUUGCUGUGAAGUGCCACUAGUACACUAUUCUUGCAGCAUUAUUUUUAUUAAUAGUAUCUUCCUGACUAUCUGUAAUGUGGAUGCAUUUUCCAUGUUACUUUGAGCAAAAAAGAGUUAAAUGUUUUUAAACCAAGAGUCAAGCUUAGCUCGUUGCCCAGAGGGGAGGGAGAAGGGGGAUUUUCUACUGAGCCACUCUGCCCUGGCCAAUUAAAAGUUUAUGACCUGUAGAUUUCAAAAGUUGCUUUUGUAGUCGGAUGACUGGAGUAAAUAGCAUGACUUCUGGUCGUGCAGCUUUCUCAUGGGAAAAGCAAUUCAGUGCACAGGCUCUUUUCUCAGCAGAUCCUGCCUGCUGCAGCAGCCUGCUAGCACAGCCCUUGCAGGAGCCCUGCUGUGGUGAAAGGAAAAUGCCCAGGACAAUAAUGCUUCCUAAUAAUAUCAAACUGAUGAGCAAAGAAAUAGCACCCACAUUCCCAACUGAUGAUGUGACAAAGAUCAAGAAAUUCUGCAAAACUCAAACCAAACUAGCGCUGGCACGAUGCGCAAUCGCGUCUAAUCCUGAGCUGCUCGUUCGGGUGAGACACCCGCUGAUUUCACCAAUGGGCUCCACUUCAUCUCCAAAGCUGAUGGAACUAUUCCACUUCUGUCACUUGCUAUCAUGGUUGCUGUUCAGUUGUGACUUCAUUCCUAAGUGCUUUGUUUUCAGAACCCAUAAUUCAGUUACAUUAGCUGCAGACUCCAGCCUGCUCCAGAGCAGCUCCUGGCAGAGGUGUCAUCUUCCUUACAUAAAUCAAGCUCUUUGUUUCUCUGCAGAGUUUCAAUCAAAUAUUUGAUAACUUGCUUUAAAAAAUAGAAUAAUCCUUGUCAAAUCCUUUGGGUAUGUGGUUUCUCUCCUCAAGAGGGCAAUUUGAAAAUCUUCCUCCCCAGGACCCUGCUGUGGCAUUUUAACCAUGUGAGUACAGGUGGGAUCUGUUGGCCAAUAACCCCUUGUCCAAAGCACUUGCUCAGCACCUGCAUUGCCUGGCUGGGUACCCAGAAGUGGCACACAUGGAGCCAUGGAAGUUCAAAGCAGGUGUCUAAUGGCACUCAAUGACAUGCUAAUGGAUCUGCUGCUUUCCAAAGGACUGUCUACUAAAGCUUUACUAAAACCAGAAACUGGUCCCUUAAUGAAUGCAAAACUAGGUGGGACAUAGGCAAGAUUCUUUGAAGUAUGAAACGAGAUUUUAAGUUAAAAAUUUUAAAUAUUUAUUCUGGGAGGAUUCUGAAGAAAGAACUCUAAUUAGAGGAAAGUACAUUUUGAGCAUUUCUGUCUCAUUUAUUGAAACAGUAGAAUUUCUGAGGAUGUCUUUAGUACCCACUUGUGUUGUACUAUUAUCUAGAGGAGUGUUAGGUAUGCAAUAAUACUGUAGUAAUAUAAACUUUGCUUAAGAAAACAGACUUAGUUAUUUUAUAUAUACUUUUUAACAGUCUUGACCUUAGAAAUGCCAGCUUCUCUUUCUUUUCCUUCCAGUUUGAGACUGAAAUGAAAAUUGCAAUCACAAUACACACCAAUACUGUUGGUACAACCUUACAAGUAAUUAAGCAGUUUAGAAGCUAAUUAGUGGCACAAGAUUUCCAAGCUUGCAAAGAGUCAGGAGCAUUCUAGAGAGGAAAUGCUGGGGGAAAAAAAGCAAAUUAAAAUUCUGUAAUCAGAACUUUUCAACUUUGGGAACUUCUUUAAGGCUUAAGCACAUGUUUCUCUAAUGCUCUGUCUUCUUUCCAUUGCCUGGACCUGUGCGUUUGGAGAUCCUGGUGAAGCCUGGCAGGCUCCUGUACAUGGAAUCAUGAAAAAUGUUGAUUUGAUUUGCUCACAAUUUUCUCCUGUUAAGCUGAAGCACAUGGGAUGUUUAUGACAUUUAUAUGGAAGCUGUGUUUUUGAAUAAUGAAAGAAAUAAAAGUAGGAAUAAAUAUGUAGUAAAGAUGUUU
rnacentral:lncRNA from 1 species